rnacentral:rRNA from 1 species
UACGUAGGGGGCAAGCGUUGUCCGGAAUUAUUGGGCGUAAAGAGCGUGUAGGCGGCCCCGUUAGUCCGCUGUGAAAGUCCAGGGCUCAACCCUGGAAUGCCGGUGGAUACUGUGGGGCUAGAGUCCGGAAGGGGCGAGUGGAAUUCCUGGUGUAGCGGUGAAAUGCGCAGAUAUCAGGAGGAACACCAAUUGCGAAGGCAGCUCGCUGGGACGUGACUGACGCUGAGACGCGAAAGCGUGGGGAGCAAACAGG